GAUAGUGGCGAACGGGUGAGUAACACGUGGGAACCUGCCCAUAAGGAGGGGGAUAACCGAUCCGGAAACGGGUGCUAAUACCGCAUAGUUUUCUUGAUCGCAUGAUCGGGAAAGGAAGACGGCCUUUGUGCUGUCGCUUAUGGAUGGACCCGCGGCGUAUUAGUUAGUUGGUGAGGUAACGGCUCACCAAGACGAUGAUACGUAGCCGACCUGAGAGGGUGACUCGGCCACAUUGGGACUGAGACACGGCCCAAACUCCUACGGGAGGCAGCAGUAGGGAAUCUUCCGCAAUGGGACGAAAGUCUGACGGAGCAACGCCGCGUGAGUGAAGAAAGGUUUUCGGAUCGUAAAACUCUGUUAGUCAGUAGAAGAACAAGUUCGGAGAGUAACUGCUCCAGCCUUGACGGUAUCUGACCAGAAAGCCACGGCUAACUACGUGCCAGCCGCUGC
rnacentral:rRNA from 1 species